CCUANGGGUGGCAGCAGUAGGGAAUAUUGGUUAAUGGGCGCAAGCCUGACCCAGCAACGCCGCGUGAGUGAUGAAGGCCUUCGGGUUGUAAAACUCUUUUUAUGGGGAUGAGGAAGGACAGUACUCAUAGAAUAAGUCUCGGCUAACUACGUGCCAGCAGCCGCGGUAACACGUAGGAGACAAGCGUUAUCCGGAUUUACUGGGUGUAAAGCGCGUGCAGGCGGUUUUGUAAGUUGGAUGUGAAAGCUCCUGGCUUAACUGGGAGAGGUCGUUCAAGACUGCAAGACUAGAGUAUGUCAGAGGAGAGUGGAAUUCCGAGUGUAGCGGUAAAAUGCAUAGAUAUUCGGAAGAACACCAGUGGCGAAGGCGGCUCUCUGGGGCAUAACUGACGCUCAGACGCGAAAGCUAGGGUAGCAAACGGGAUUAGAUACCCUANUANUC
rnacentral:rRNA from 1 species